UGACUGUAAACCUUUUUUGCUUUGGCCA
rnacentral:sRNA from 1 species